UAAGAUGCUCUGGGCCAACUUCAACAGAAACAAUUUGCAUCUCAAUAAUCAUUUAAUGGUUAGCGCAACCCAAGUUCGAUUAAAGGAAUAAACUAUUGGACCCCAGCAAUUAUGUUGAGACAAUUAGAUAUCUCCUUAGCUGUAGAUUUAUUUCAUAUUUAGACAAUAAUAUAGAACUGUGUACUACAACCCACCUGACAACGGCAAGAAGUACGUGGACCAACUUGCCCAGUUUCGUCUCCUAAGCCAACCUGAUAUC
rnacentral:misc_RNA from 1 species